rnacentral:rRNA from 1 species
UACGGAGGAUCCAAGCGUUAUCCGGAUUCAUUGGGUUUAAAGGGUGCGUAGGCGGAAUGAUAAGUCAGUGGUGAAAGCCUGCAGCUUAACUGCAGAACUGCCAUUGAUACUGUCAAUCUUGAGUACAUUUGAUGUGGGCGGAAUGUGUCAUGUAGCGGUGAAAUGCUUAGAUAUGACACAGAACACCGAUUAGCGAAGGCAGCUCACAAAACUGUAAACUGACGCUUGAGGCACGAAAAGCCGUGGGGGAGCGAACAGG